GGUGGCUCAGAAGUAGAGCACUUGCCUUGCAUGCAUGAGGUCCUGGGUUCAAUUCCCCAGCACCA
rnacentral:tRNA from 1 species